rnacentral:rRNA from 1 species
UGAGUAACCUGCCCUAGGCUUUGGGAUAACCCUCGGAAACGGGGGCUAAUACUGGAUAUUCCCGCGGGAUCGCAUGGUUUUGUGGGGAAAGGUUUUCCGGCUUGGGAUGGGCUCGCGGCCUAUCAGCUUGUUGGUGGGGUGAUGGCCUACCAAGGCGACGACGGGUAGCCGGCCUGAGAGGGCGACCGGCCACACUGGGACUGAGACACGGCCCAGACUCCUACGGGAGGCAG